CUCUCUCUCUCUCUCUCUCUCUCUCUCUCUGUCAUACUAUACACAACAUAGCAUUGAAGAAGUAUGUUGAAUCUUUUGUGUCUCUUUCUUGCUUUAACUGAAGAAUUUGAUAGCUUUCAUCAAGUUUGGUGAGGACUGCAUACUUUUCUGGGGUGUAAAUCAUCACAGUGAAAAUGGUGUUGAAAAAAAACUUCUGGGUUAUUUUUGUUCUACUCCUUUUAGGAUUUGCAACUAAUUUGCACACUGCAAAAUGCGCUCCUCGGCCUAGGCCUCGUCGGAUUCUCUUGGAUACAGAUGUUGAUACGGAUGAUUUCUUUGCUCUUCUCUACCUCUUAAAGCUUAACAGAUCAGAGUUUGAGUUAGAGGGUGUGACUAUCAACACAAAUGCCUGGACUG